AUCGCUUCUCGGCCUUUUGGCUAAGAUCAAGUGUAGUAUCUGAACUUGAACACUUUCUGUAAUACAAAGUGGUCACUAGCAGAUGGCCAUUUUCCAGAAUGACAUUCCAGGACCUGCUGCUUGUAACACUUUCAACAGUCUGGCUCCCGGUCCACCAUCC
rfam:Dipodomys ordii contig_5201, whole genome shotgun sequence.